CAGCCGCCGCGGUAAUACGGAGGGUGCAAGCGUUAAUCGGAAUUACUGGGCGUAAAGCGUGCGCAGGCGGUUAUAUAAGACAGAUGUGAAAUCCCCGGGCUCAACCUGGGAACUGCAUUUGUGACUGUAUAGCUAGAGUACGGCAGAGGGGGAUGGAAUUCCGCGUGUAGCAGUGAAAUGCGUAGAUAUGCGGAGGAACACCGAUGGCGAAGGCAAUCCCCUGGGCCUGUACUGACGCUCAUGCACGAAAGCGUGGGGAGCAAACAGGAUUAGAUACCCCAGUAGUCCCUGUCUCUUAUAC
rnacentral:rRNA from 1 species